UACCCAUAAAUAUAGUUGUGAAAAUUGUCUUUAAAAUAGCACUUCUAUGUGCUCAGAAAUCCAGACUUCACACUUUAUCUAUUUUUAUUUUGAAGAUUGCAAAAGAUAAAUACAUUUAUAUGACAACCAUCAGACAAACACUCCGUUUUAACCUUUAUAUCCAUGGAUGUCUGGGGUCAGGAAUGAUAGGCUAUUGUCCUACCUGGCUGGGAGAGGAGAGUGGAAGGAGAAGAGGACUGGCUGAGGGCAGGUCUCAAGGCUAGCACCUUCUGACAAACUGCAGUCACACAGGGUCACCUGUUUGUCAAACUUGCUUAUCUCUGAAAGGCUCUGGAUCCUUUUCGGGAAGGUUUCCGCCAUUUUUGAAUGUUUGCAUUUGCCUUCCUCUAUUAUCAGUUCUCUUGUUCUGUCAGCACUAGUGGUAAUCACGUACUCUACUCUGUGAAAGUGGGUGACUCCAUGUCCCACGCGCGACUUUUCGCCGGCAAGAAGCACGAGGACAUUUAGAAAUCCUUACUGUGACCACUUUAUUAAUCUUAGAAGAGGAAAAGCCACACCGCGCCAACAUGGUGCGCUUAUAAAACCCUAGUGCAGCGCACCCACACCUGAUUGGUUGUUACCCAUGAUCUCAAUAGGCACGCCCCGGAGUGGGCAAAGACCUGGCACGAAGGCACUCUUGCACAUGCGCACAGUUAACUUCCUGAAAGGGGGCCGGCUGGCGCGGCGAAUGGCAGAGUCUAUCCUGGCCUACCACGUGGGCGCAGUGGAAGACAGCGUAGUGGUGGCGAAUGUUAUUGUGGCCCUCUACAACUCCACAGUAAGAAUCAAUGAUUUUUCAGUUGUUUAUCUAGAAGCGGCUACAUCUGUGUGUGUGAUGAUGAUGAUGAUGUUCCUGGGCAAAAGGAAUAUUUGAAAUGGGCUACUUUAUCAUUGCAGGUCUGGCAGGACCUUGAGAGAAACUUAACAUAUGAGAUAAACCAAUCAAAAAUGGACAUUAUCGCCAGGGACCAUUACUGCAUUGUAAGCAAAUCAGCAUAUUUUUCAGAAGCAUCCUAGUUUCCUAGCUUCCCUUUUGCUACCCUUCAUCUUCAUAAGAGGGCUGAUGGUAUUGGGCUUGACGGACAGCACAAGUUCUGUCCACCUGAGAGGACAUGUAGGACUGUUCCUAGCCCGUCUAUUGUUUGUUCCCAACCACAUUAAACAAUCAGUGCUAAUAGUUUUCUUCUAGAAACACGGGCUUCUACUUUAGUCUCAAGCCUUGUUAAAGGAAAGCAUAAAAACAAAACUCUUCCUAUGCCAUGCACACUAAUCCACUGCCAAUAGAUCCUUACGGUGCUCGGUAGUACAGCAGUUACUCUAAUAGGAAGUAAGGAUCCUCUGAGUAUGGUAGUUAAGUUCCCUAAGAAAUGUACAAAAAGGAAACACUGACCUUUCAAGACACUAAAAGCAAAUGGAUGGAUCUCAUAACUCUGCUCUCUGUUCUCUGUUAUGGUUCCCAAAGCAGAAACCAUCUAACAUCAUAAGACAAGAAUUUCUAAUGGUAUAUUUUUACAGUAAAAAUAUACUUUGAAUUUUAUAAGGGAUGCACAUUUAAAAAAAUAGGACAGUAUUGUCUUCUUGCAAGAUGGAAUUUUAUAGCAUAUUUGGACAUGCUAAGAAAUCAGAAUGAAUCUUAAAAGCAAGAAAAUUUUAAAUAGUGGUAUUAACAGACCAAUGACUGGAUUUUCUAAAAGAUGUUUUUUUUUUUCUUCAGAUGUCCUGAGGUGUGCCUAUAUUAAAAAAAAUGGUUGGAACUAGAGGUGUGCCUAUAUAAAAUCAUAGGUCUAGGUUGCACUAUUUGAAGGAUGGAGGUCAAGAUAAUUGAGGUCUUAUCACCAAUACUACCUGAAGAUGUUCACUGUUUAGAGAGCCAGAAUUAAAAUUGUAAGAGGAAUUACACUAAAUAAUUGGGAAAUGAAGCAACACAUUAAAUUGCUUUCUUGGUAGAUUGACUAAGGUCAUAAUUGAAAACACAAUUCAUAUGGAUUCAACAAACCAAUGGUAGAAUUUUGCUAGGUAUGAAGAGACUGGAAAAAGUUAUUGUUGAUGAAACUCAAGAUGUUGCCAUGGGGAAUGACCGUUGAAACUGGAGACAUAAUCCCUUGUUGACAAGAAACGUUUAAACAAGUUCGCAGCCUGGAGAAUACUUCUGUUGUUGCUACUGCUGUUCUCCUCCCCUGAAGCCGGGGACUCUGGUUCUGUCAGAUUUCAAGACUCGCUUGACUUGAAAGCAAGUGAUAUUUUUAAAAGUUGGAACUCCAAA